GACGAACGCUGGCGGCGUGCUUAACACAUGCAAGUCGAACGGAAAGGCCCUGCUUUCGUGGGGUGCUCGAGUGGCGAACGGGUGAGUAACACGUGAGUAACCUGCCCUUGACUUUGGGAUAACUUCAGGAAACUGGGGCUAAUACCGGAUAGGAGCUCCUGCUGCAUGGUGGGGGUUGGAAAGUUUCGGCGCUUGGGGAUGGACUCGCGGCUUAUUAGCUUGUUGGUGGGGUAGUGGCUUACCCAGGCUUUGACGGGUAGCCGGCCUGAGAGGGUGACCGGCCACAUGGGGACUGAGAUACGGCCCAGACUCCUACGGGAGGCAGCAGUGGAGAAUAUUGCACAAUGGGAGGAAGCCUGAUGCAGCAGCGCCGCGUGCGGGAUGACGGCCUUCGGGUUGUAAACCGCUUUCGCCUGUGACGAAGCGUGAGUGACGGUAAUGGGUAAAGAAGCACCGGCUAACUACGUG
rnacentral:rRNA from 1 species